rnacentral:rRNA from 1 species
UGGCUCAGGACGAACGCUGGCGGCGUGCCUAACACAUGCAAGUCGAGCGAUGAAAUCCUUCGGGAUGGAUUAGCGGCGGACGGGUGAGUAACACGUGGGUAACCUGCCUUGUAGAGGGGGAUAGCCUUCCGAAAGGAAGAUUAAUACCGCAUAACAUCUUUUUAUCGCAUGGUAGAAAGAUCAAAGGAGCAAUCCGCUACAAGAUGGACCCGCGGCGCAUUAGCUAGUUGGUGAGGUAACGGCUCACCAAGGCGACGAUGCGUAGCCGACCUGAGAGGGUGAUCGGCCACAUUGGAACUGAGACACGGUCCAGACUCCUACGGGAGGCAGCAGUGGGGAAUAUUGCGCAAUGGGGGAAACCCUGACGCAGCAACGCCGCGUGAAUGAAGAAGGCCUUAGGGUUGUAAAGUUCUGUUUACGGGGACGAUAAUGACGGUACCCGUGGAGGAAGCCACGGCUAACUACGUGCCAGCAGCAGC